rnacentral:rRNA from 1 species
UACAGAGGGUGCGAGCGUUAAUCGGAAUUACUGGGCGUAAAGCGCACGUAGGCGGUUUGUUAAGUCGGAUGUGAAAUCCCUCGGCUCAACUGAGGAAGUGCACCCGAAACUGGCAGGCUUGAGUACUAAAGAGGGUCGCGGAAUUCCCGGUGUAGAGGUGAAAUUCGUAGAUAUCGGGAGGAACACCGGUGGCGAAGGCGGCGCCCUGGGUAGAUACUGACGCUGAGGUGCGAAAGCGUGGGGAGCAAACAGG